UUGAGGCCAGCGGUUGGCGCGGCGCAACGGUUUACGCCUGCAUGGUGGUGCACGAAGCGCUGCCCAUGCGCUUCAGUCAGCGCACGCUGCAGAAACAGCCUGGUAAAUAAAGGAUGGGGGUGUGAAACCCUCGUGCAAUGCACAA